UGGGGAAUAUUGCGCAAUGGGGGAAACCCUGACGCAGCAACGCCGCGUGAGUGAGGAAGGACUUCGGUCUGUAAAGCUCUGUUAAUGAGGAAAAAUGGCAUCUGGUCUAAUAGGCCGGAUGUUUGAUGGUACUCAUAGAGGAAGCACCGGCUAACUUCGUGCCAGCAGCCGCGGUAAUACGAAGGGUGCAAGCGUUGUUCGGAUUUAUUGGGCGUAAAGCGCGCGUAGGUGGACCUGCAAGUCAGAUGUGAAAUCUCGGGGCUCAACCUCGAAACUGCGUCUGAAACUACAGGUCUAGAGUCUCGGAGGGGGAAGGGGAAUUUCGCAUGUAGGGGUAAAAUCCGUAGAUAUGCGAAGGAACACCAGAGGCGAAGGCGCCUUCCUGGACGAGUACUGACACUGAGGCGCGAAAGCGUGGGGAUCAAACA
rnacentral:rRNA from 1 species